AUUGAUGAGUUUGUUUCACUCAUGGUUUUCGCACAUUUUUAGCUUGAUUAAAUACUAGAUUUUAUGAGUGUAGAACGUUUUUGAUGUGUUUGUUAGUGUUGUUUUGAAGAUAAGGAGAAGCAAUGAGAAAAGAAGUAUUAAAGUGGAUGAAGAGGCCAAAAACACGAAAUUGGGGCAGAAAGAUGGCGCUUAGGCGCUACACUUAUAGCGCCUAGGCGCUACGAAACGAAGAAAAGAUGAAAAUUGGACCCGAGAGGCAGCGCCUAGGCGCUACAACC
rnacentral:lncRNA from 1 species